UUUUCCUCCCGUACGUCCUUUCAAUUUUCGAUCAACGAAGAGAAGAUACUUUUGAAGCGACGAGAGUAAAUUUUCCUGAUAUAAUGCGAACAAUUAAACAUCAGUCGCAGGAGAAACUGAGUUUGCCAGGUUAAAUGGAUAAAGAAGCAAAUUAUAGGACGGCCAAUAACAAUAGCGCUUCCUCGUCAAUAGAAAGGAAGAGAAAGACAGAAAUAGAGAGAGAGAGAGAGAGGGGGGGGGGGGCAAGAUACCCCUCGCACAAAGAGAAUCGCGCUCCAGUUUCAUAUUCCAUUUACUGCCUAAUUGGCUCGGAAUAGAUAAAUAAUUGCAAGAGCUUCGAAAUAAUGCCGACCAAUAACGCGAUACGCGUUAUUUCGCGACAAUAUAAACUUUUUAUUUCAAUGAAGAAGAAUCGCGCAUGCGACCACAUAUAACGACGGCUUACAAUUGGCUCAUAAAGGAAUAAUGACGUUUCGUUAAAGUUCUUUUUAUACGAAACAUAAAAGAUGUAUGUUGCACGCUUCGCAUUGAAACAGUAAUUAAAAUAUGAUAUUUCCUUUAUUGCGUUUACGAUUGAAGUUAUUGUAAUUAAAAUAGCGGACUAUGUGUGCGUCAAACAUGUUGAAUAUUUGUUAGCGAGAACAUUUGAAAACUUCGGUCCUCCGCGAGAAAGGGCGAUGUAAAGCGGAUGAGACUAAUCCACGAUUCCCACGUCAAUUCGCUUGCACGAGUUUUUAUUUCACAGUGAGACGGAACCCUGCAUAAUCGUCCAAAUGAGAGAGAGAGAGAGAGAGAGAGAGAGAGAGAGAGAAAAAACCGGGACCGCGCCCCAUUUCGUGACUCGUCUACAUUUGGCCGGCGCGAAACAAAAUGUCUCACAAUGAUGCACUAUCGAAAAUUACCCGGAAGAAGACGAAGGAGGAGACAAUAAUGAUUGAGUGAAAUCAGUACAUUUGGCCCUUUAUGAAUUUCGUAAUGUAAUCAAGUCCCGCAUUUUCCGAAAGCAUAAUCUUUAUGGCGUAUCUUCAAUCAGGAUAAGGAGAGAAUUGGAGAGAAACGUCGAUGGAUUGCAUGUCGCACGCGGAUGCUACGAUGAACGCGCCACGGACUAUUCAUGAGGAACGUCAGGUCGAAAUUGGGACAGCCCGAGAGUUCGUGAUUCGAAACGGCAGUGAGGAAUGGAUUGACCCCGAUCGCACGAGAGCGAUUUUUGCGCGAGAGAAGCACCGGAGCGUGCGUCGACCCUGCGCCAAUCUGUCGGUUGCCGUAUACUUCCUUCCCCGACGAUUCUGUUGAAUCCAGUGAACAAGAAUGAAAUAAAUCUGAGUGGCACUCAGGAAAUCUGAACAUAGCCCUACGCGUUUCCGUGAUGUGGUCGCAGCGGAUGCACCAAGUUCUACCUCGCAACGACGACCGAGUCCGUCAAUGUCGCUUCGUCAACGUUGUCGUCGUCGUCGCCGUCGCCGAGCGUCGCCACACCGCGUCGCGCCGCAUCGAGACAGAAUCGUUCGAUUCUACUAUAUUUCCUCUCGAAUCAAACCGGAAGUUAGAGAGACGACGUGAUUCUCUCCGUUUCUUGUAUUAUUCAACACUAUUUGCAAUCUACUCUAUUUUUUUUUAGAAUCACUGCCGUAGCGACGCUUUUAUUAUUCAAUGACAUUUAUUGUCUAGUUGAAAAUUUACGAUUUUUUUUGUGAUAACUAAAAUCUUACUUGUAAAAGCAGAACAUUCCGAUAGUUAGACUUUCUUGUGCCAAGUAUGAACAAAGUAAGUUAAACGUUGUCACAGAUGUGUCAUUGAAAUUUAUCAAUAUUUCUCGUUAAUCAAAGUGACUCAUAUACAUGUAUAAUAGUAUUACUUGUUUUCUUCUUUCACCUUGGGAAUAUAAAGGAAAAUGAACAGUGUCAAUAAAAUCUAUUGAAGCUUGCUAUAAUCGAAAAGAGUUGCAAUAGAAAUUUCUCACGUCGAAUAUAAAAGGACUGAAAGCUAAGCGACGAAGAAAAGCUAUGGAUUCAGUUCCCAUUUUCACUUUAGUGAUAUCUGUCGUCUCAUUGAAACCGAUUAAUACUUUUCGAUAAUCAAAAUCACUCGUAAAAUCGCGUCGUCCACGACGAUGAUUCACGCUUAAGUCAACGCACUGGAAAGCAAAGUUGUAGGAAAAAAAAAUAGAAAGAAAGAAUAUAACAAG
rnacentral:lncRNA from 1 species